GACGAACGCUGGCGGCGUGCUUAACACAUGCAAGUCGAACGAAGUGGCGAACGGGUGAGUAAUACGUGAGUAACCUGCCCUCCUUUUCGGGAUAAGCCUUUGAAACGGGGUCUUAUACCGGCUAAAGGGGGUUGGGCUCGCGGCCUAUCAGCUUGUUGGUGGGGUGAUGGCCUACCAAGGAGGUGACGGGUAGCCGGCCUGAGAGGGUGACCGGCCACGUUGGGACGGAGAUACGGCCCAGAUUACGACGGGAGGCAGAAUUGGGGAAUAUUGAACAAUGGGCGAAAGCCUGAUGCAGCGACGCCGCGUGGGGGAUGAAGGCUUUCGGGUUGUAAACGUGAUUCGCAAUCGAUCGGGUAGGUGGAGAAGAAGCGCCGGCUAACUACGUGCCAGCAGCCGCGGUAAUAC
rnacentral:rRNA from 1 species